CCGAACUUAUAGACCUGUUUGUGUUGGUUGGAGGCGUGUGACUAUAUAUGUCAGAUUGCCGUGUCCAAGGACUCGUCACUGCUGUGUCGAGAUUGCAGUCUCACAGGACUCCUCGCUGCUGCCUCGAGAUUAAAGAAUUUAGAGGCAAUCCGGGACGUGUUCGAGGUCCAGCUUUCAGCACAUGGUGCACAUUACACUCGUGCGGUUUCAUUGUGCCGUGUUUGUAUAAAUACUUGUACUUUAUGUAAUUUUGUAGGUGUAAAAUCUGUUAACGUUUUUAUUUUGUGAAUUUUGUUUGUGAGGUGUUUUACUAUUAUUUUUUUUAAAACCUUUAUUAAACUUAUAUUAAGUUA